UACGCACGCUGGCGGCGUGCCUAAUACAUGCAAGUAGAACGCUGAAGAGAGGAGCUUGCUCUUCUUGGAUGAGUUGCGAACGGGUGAGUAACGCGUAGGUAACCUGCCUUGUAGCGGGGGAUAACUAUUGGAAACGAUAGCUAAUACCGCAUAACAAUGGAUGACACAUGUCAUUUAUUUGAAAGGGGCAAUUGCUCCACUACAAGAUGGACCUGCGUUGUAUUAGCUAGUAGGUGAGGUAAUGGCUCACCUAGGCGACGAUACAUAGCCGACCUGAGAGGGUGAUCGGCCACACUGGGACUGAGACACGGCCCAGACUCCUACGGGAGGCAGCAGUAGGGAAUCUUCGGCAAUGGGGGCAACCCUGACCGAGCAACGCCGCGUGAGUGAAGAAUGUUGUCGGAUCGUAUAGUUCUGUUGUAAGUCAAGAACGGGUGUGAGAGUGGAAAGUUCACAAUGUGACGGUAGCUGACCAGAAAGGGACGGCUAACUACGUG
rnacentral:rRNA from 1 species